rnacentral:tRNA from 1 species
GCCGUCCUAGCUCAACCGGCAGAGCAGUGCUUUUGUAAAGCACAGGUUCUGGGUUCGACCCCCAGGGACGGCU